UACGUAGGGGGCAAGCGUUGUCCGGAAUCAUUGGGCGUAAAGAGCGUGUAGGCGGCCAGAUAAGUCCGCUGUGAAAUCUCGAGGCUCAACUUCGAGCUGUCGGUGGAAACUGUCUGGCUAGAGUCCGGAAGAGGAGAAUGGAAUUCCUGGUGUAGCGGUGAAAUGCGCAGAUAUCAGGAAGAACACCCGUGGCGAAGGCGGUUCUCUGGGACGGUAUUGACGCUGAGGCGCGAAAGCCAGGGGAGCAAACGGG
rnacentral:rRNA from 1 species